rnacentral:lncRNA from 1 species
AAAUGUUGUAACAAAACGAUCCCUUCUACGCCGUCUAUGUAGGGAACGCGUCGGUAAGACGCGUACCAUAGGAUAAGACUUUCCGGGAACCAACGGUUUUUAGGUAGCACAAUGCAUCGAUGGAAACGGAUGUAUUUACCUGAGAAAGAUACAAAAGACCUUUCUCAGUUUGCUGUUUUUAUUUUAGUUAGUUAGCAUUGAGAUCUUGUAACGUAUAGACGAAAAUACACCUUUUGUUCGAUUA